rnacentral:rRNA from 1 species
GACGAACCGUGCGAACGUUGUUCGGAUUCACUGGGCGUAAAGGGUGCGUAGGCGGUCGGGUAAGUCUGAUGUGAAAUCUCACAGCUUAACUGUGAAACUGCAUUGGAUACUAUCCGGCUCGAGGAAUGGAGGGGAGACUGGAAUACUUGGUGUAGCAGUGAAAUGCGUAGAUAUCAAGUGGAACACCAGUGGCGAAGGCGAGUCUCUGGACAUUUCCUGACGCUGAGGCACGAAAGCCAGGGGAGCAAACGGG